CUUCAGUCCCAGUGUAGGAAGUGGCAAAGCCUGCAGAGGAAGAAGGGCUAUCUGACUCCAAAUUGCAGAAGUAAGACUGCCAUCCAGGACAGGAUCUGAGAACAAUGGUGUGUGGUAUUUGUGUCCGGUCUACCUCGCUGCUUGAGAAUAAUAACCAUCUCUACCUAACACAUUAACAGAAGGCUUGCAUUUCCAGAGUGAAAAAGAACAGUGCAGAAACCAAGAAUCUGCAUUUCUAACAAGCUCCUGUGUGUUAGGACUGCUACUAAUUCACCAUUUUAGUGUCACGGAGUCUAUGCAAAGGUGGCAAGACGGCAGCGAGACUGCAUCGGAAGUCGCUGUUGAUGAAUUCAUUCAUCAAGUCCUUCCGGAGGGCCUGUUGUGUGCUCCCUGGUCUUCUAGGUCUUCGUGGUGCAUGAAGGAAGCAGAUGAGGAACAGAGGAGCUUACAUUGUAUUGAGAAAAGGGAAGUGUUUGCAAGACUAUGAGAUUUUCUCCAGGAAAUGGCAAGCCUAGCAACACAGUUAACCUUAGACAUUGGCUCAACCGCCAUCAUGAACGACACCGUAACCAACCUGAGCAGGAAGUUCAUGAUUAACUGACUACUUCAGCAGAAACAGAUGGUCAUUGAAGUCCUUCACCCUGGAAAGGCAACAGUACCUAAGACAGAAAUUCGGGAAAAACUAGCCAAAAUGUACAAGACCACACCAGAUGCCGUCUUUGUUUUUGGAUUCAGAACCCAUUUCAGAGGUGGCAAGACCACCUGGUCACACCCACUCCCAUAUGUUCCCCUAAGUGUCUCCAGACAUCAGCCAAAGGCCAGGGGCCGGGAGGGGAACGCCAGGGCUGAGAAGCGCUCACUAAUGGUGUUAGAUAGCACUUUCCUGGCACACGCUGUAUCCGAGCCUCUCUCUGGAAUUCUGAUUCCCCCAGCAGUUCCCUCUACGCCUCCCUUUCAUCCAGAUCAACCAGGUUUUUAUCACUACAAACUGCUUCUCGAUUUGGUCCCAGGAUUAGAAAAGGGGGAUACAUUUUUCAGCGGCUGGAAGAUGGUAUCUGAAGAAUGGACAAACCCUUUUUAGUUUCUAAGAAGGAGAAUUCGUGGCAGAGCCUACUAAUCACAGAAGCAGCUGAGAUGAGAUUGUGUGGUAUCGUGUCCCCAAUCUAGACAAGAGCGCAUCUGCAUGACCCAUUUCCUGACUUCCAAACACACAUUUUAAAGGUUGUUUCAGAGAAUGGAUUUGUGUAGCAUUAACUUUUAAUAGUCAGAUAUGGAUUUAGUUAUGUGACUUAAGUCAAAUGUUCAGGUUUUCUUUUCUUCUUCUUCUCCUUCUCCUUCUUCUUCUUCUUCUUCUUCUU